GACGUAGGAUGCGAGCGUUGUCCGGAUUUAUUGGGCGUAAAGAGUUCGUAGGUGGUUUGUUAAGUCUGAUGUUAAAGACUGGGGCUCAACCCUAGGACCGCAUUGGAUACUGGCAGACUGGAGUGUAGUAGAGGCAAGCGGAAUUCCCAGUGUAGCGGUGAAAUGCGUAGAUAUUGGGAAGAACACCAGUGGCGUAAGCGGCUUGCUGGGCUAUAACUGACACUGAGGAACGAAAGCCAGGGGAGCGAAUGGG
rnacentral:rRNA from 1 species